AUGAGCGACACCACCACCCACACAUGCUACAUUGAUUCGCUAGACAGCCUUCAGGAAGCCAAGCGGUUCUUCAACAAGAACCACGAAAAGUAUGGGGAGAUUGUGUUUAGCAUCACCGGCUGCGACCAACUAGUUGCAGCGCCUACGCUCUUGGCCGCUGUCAAUAGAGCCAAGAAGAAGGCCAAGUCCGAUAAGCUGUCCAUCGAGGGUCUCCCUCUUCUCCAAGAGUUGAAGGAGAGGGCCGAGGAGCUGGAGCGGAAGCUGCGGGUCUUGGAAGCGAUAGCUGACACCGAACACAACGACGAAGACAAUCAUUUCAUAGGUGACCCUGAUGCCCACACUACUACUUACCAUCACACCACCGAUAUGCAGAGACUCUUGAGUUCUGUCCAAACGAUGGACAUCAACGCGUUCCACGAGCUCGACAAGGAUGUUGAUGGAAACAUUAGAAGAUUUGAGCACCACCGUGCUAUGUUUGAGGACACUAAGAUGGAAGCAAAAGAAAAGUGGAUCCCCAGUGUUGAGAAUGAGUUGUACGGUGACGACGAGGAGGAUGAAGACGACGAGGAGGAGGAUGAAGGCGGCGAGGAUGAAGACGACGAGGAGGAGGAUGAAGAAGAGGAGGGGGAGGAUGAAGAGGAGGAGGAGGAUGAAGAAGAGGAGGAGGAGGAGGAGGGGGAUGAAGGUGACAAGGAUGACGAUGAAGACGACGAGGAGGAGGAUGAAGGCGACAAGGAGAAGGAUGAAGACGAGGAGCAGGAUGAAGACGACGAGGAGGACGAUGAAGACGAAGACGACGAGGAGGAUGAAGAUGAGUUGUACGGCGACGAGGAGGAGGAUGAAGAUGAGUAG
rnacentral:rRNA from 1 species